rnacentral:tRNA from 1 species
UAGAAUAUAGUGUAAGUUUGGUAGCACGAAGAUCUUUGAAUUCUUAAGAUUAGGU